rnacentral:lncRNA from 1 species
GACAUUCAAUUGCUGCAGGCAUUAAAGCAGUUACCUCGAGAAAAGGUUGAGUUGGCUACAAAAUUUGGUGUAUUUAAAAUUGGGGGUCCUGAAGUCAUAGUAAAAGGUUCACCUGAAUAUGUCCGUUCUUGUUGUGAGGCUAGCUUGAAGCGUCUUGACGUGGAUUAUAUUGAUCUCUACUACAUACAUCGGAUUGAUCAGACUGUGCCUAUUGAAGAGACGGUUAGUUUUUCUUAUAUACUUUUAUUUGUGAUAUUGUUCUUAUAUA